AACAUCUUGCCGCCGGGUAAGCAGGUACAACAUCAUGAUUUUCUGUCGUUAGGCCUUAGAAGACAGGAGGUUUUGAUGUUUUUUUGU
rnacentral:ncRNA from 1 species